AACGACUCUCGGCAACGGAUAUCUCGGCUCUCGCAUCGAUGAAGAACGUAGCGAAAUGCGAUACUUGGUGUGAAUUGCAGAAUCCCGUGAACCAUCGAGUCUUUGAACGCAAGUUGCGCCUUAGGCCACUAGGCUGAGGGCACGUCUGCCUGGGCGUCACGC
rnacentral:rRNA from 2 species